AGAUAGAUUAAACUUUAUUGAAAAAUAUGAAGAGUUUAAUUUACCAAAAAAAGAAAGAAAACGCUAUUUGUAUUCUUCAAGUGGAAAAAAAUGGAUUAUUAAUUCCGAUUUUACAAGAUUAAUGAUGUUAUUUUAGAAGAAAAAAAUGUUAUUUUACAAAAAAAAGAAGCAAUAUUUUGUAACGCUACGGACACUUCAGAAAGUGAUAGCAUUGUUAUAAUUUCCGAAAACGAACAUGGACAGAUAUCAUGUCAUUCUUAUGAAAAUUUUUUUAUAAAAACCGAAAUGCCUGACUUUAAUUUAACUGAACUACUUGAGUUAGCUCUAAUGGGAAAAGCUGUUAUUUUUUUCUAUAAUAACAAUUGUUUAAAUGACAGCCUUAGAAAUAAGCUUGUAGAUAUAAUAAUGAGACAUUUAUUCUCAUUUCAUUGCAAACAGUGAGACAUCUUAAAACAUAUCAAUUAUGUAAUAAGUUAUAGUGCUUACAAAAUUAAUUUGCAAUUAAAUACAUUUUUAUGUUUUUUUAUGCAA
rnacentral:lncRNA from 13 species